GCGGAUAUGGCGAAAUUGGCAGACGCGCUGGAUUUAGGUUCCAGUGAGGCAACUCGUGCAGGUUCAAGUCCUGUUAUCCGCACCA
rnacentral:tRNA from 2 species